AGAUUGAACGCUGGCGGCAUGCUUUACACAUGCAAGUCGAACGGUAACAGGCCGCAAGGUGCUGACGAGUGGCGAACGGGUGAGUAAUGUAUCGGAACGUGCCCAGUCGCGGGGGAUAACGCAGCGAAAGCUGCGCUAAUACCGCAUACGAUCUAUGGAUAGAAGCGGGGGACCGUAAGGCCUCGGCGCGAUUGGAGCGGCCGAUAUCGAGAGUUAGGUAGGUUGGUAGGGGUAAAGGCUACACCAACGACCGAACGUA
rnacentral:rRNA from 1 species